ACGGUGAAUACGUUCCCGGGCCUUGUACACACCGCCCGUCACACCAUGGGAGUGGGUUGCAAAAGAAGUAGGUAGCUUAACCUUCGGGAGGGCGCUUACCACUUUGUGAUUCAUGACUGGGGUGAAGUCGUAACAAGGUAACCG
rnacentral:rRNA from 1 species